AAGUGGCAAUAGGCAGGAUACCUGGCAAGAAGGACGGAUAACAUAUGGACCAGAAAAAUUACAGCAUGGUACCCACAAGGAAUAAAGAGACCAAGAAGACCAUGAUAUUAUUAGGAAAUUAGUAAGUAUAACUUUAGCUCGCAUAGCCAACAAUGGGCCCAACUACAAAGAGAUUAUCUAAAUAUGUGAGGGAGGCUACACUAUAGUGUUUGUUGAACAAUCUGUUGAUGAUAACUACAGAUAAAAUCAUCUGCAUCGAAACUGAAGUGAACAAAUAAAAUAUAUUGGAUGUCUAAGUAAGAAAUUUUAUGAAAAAAAAAACGUAGAAAUAUAAAAAGGCAAAUUUGUGAGUUAUUUUGGUAAACCAUAAUGUUUAUUAUUAUAAGACAAAAUUCUAGUUUAUAAUUAUAUUUUUAUAGUCAUUAUAUCAAUACUAAUACUUUUUUCUUUUUUGUAUCAAACUUCUAGGGAAUAUUUAUCGGAAAUCUGAAUCCAAUUAUAUCUUCCUUCACCGUAAAGUCAAGAAAAUCUUGGAAAAUGGAAAAAAGAAAUAUAUGGGUAUGGAUAGGAGUAGAAGAUAAAAUUUUAAGAAAUUAUUUUGGGUUUUGAAAUAGCUACUCGCUACGUUGACUAUGAGGAAACUAUUUUCUUUUUCCCUCAAAGGCCACUGCUACACCUAUUUUUUCGAUGGGCAUCCCAGUGCAUUCAUGAUCACAGGAAUCCCUUGGUAAAGGUAAACUUGCCAGCACAAAAGUUAUUUUAUUCUUCCACAGCAGAUGAAGAUAAAUCGUUUAUUAAUUCAUAUCAGGAUCAGUUGAAAGCUGUAUUAAGCCACAAAAGGGUUGAGAGAAGAUGCAAUCGAGCAUCAGUAAUAUGGCUCCCGGAAAAGAAUCUAGGCAAGGUAGAUAAGGUUGUUAAAAACUUACUGAAAUUCUUUGGUUUCCAAAACAGGGAUGGUAUAUUUUUGUAUCCAGAAGAAGUACUGUUUUUACUAGAAACCAAUAGGGCUGAGGUAACUUUAAAUAAUUCUUCAUUAUCAAUCCAGGAUGGCUAUGGUAUAUUACUGGCCACACCAAAUUUGAAUCUAGUAAAAUACAGGGUUUAUAAAAAACUAGCAAACCUAGGAUACAAGGUGAUAAGGUAUGAAAACAGAGAGAAAAUGAAUCAAAAGAAUAGAGAGAAUACAAAGAAAAGAAAACUAUCACACAGUGAAGAUUUAGAACAAGAAGAAGCAACGUGUUCCAAGAAGCUUAAUGACGGUGAAGUCCCACAGGGUGAUACUAAAAUUAGGGAAACUUCUAAAGCAGAAGAAUAUAUAGAGAAAAUAUUUAAGGAAAUGAGAGAAAAAGCACCGAGGAAUAUAUCUAAUAACAUUGAGGUUGUACCUGAUUUUUGUGCCUAUAUACCUAAUAAAAAUGAAGAAAUUAUUAACAUAAUUAUUUGGGACGGUGACAGUAAAUCCAUAGGACUCUCGAAUAAACCAGAGAUUUACGCCCUUUGUUCAGAUGACGUAUCAUUCUACAAAUUUACCAACACUGAAACGCCUGUAAUAUAAAAAAAAUAAAACACUACA
rnacentral:misc_RNA from 1 species